rnacentral:misc_RNA from 1 species
GUCGAUUCUGGUUUGUAAAUUGCAUCUCUGAUAGUCAUGCCAAUAUGUAAAAUUUUGUAGGAGUAGUUCAGAAGUAGUUCUUCUAAUACGGAUAUUUAUUUAUGCUGUUAGUGUCGUUCAUGCGUUUAGUAGUGCAAUAUCUAGUAGUUCUGCGCAAACUCCAGAAGUUAAAAAAGGGGAAAAAAAUGGCAAUUGUUCUUCCAAUAGUUCUGAUCAUGUGGUUGCAUCUGAAUUUGCAUUCUUAAUCUUUUUGGUAGGGUUGUGGUGGAUUAUUUUAUUG